rnacentral:rRNA from 1 species
AUUGAACGCUGGCGGCAGGCUUAACACAUGCAAGUCGAGCGGAGUGAUGGUGCUUGCACUAUCACUUAGCGGCGGACGGGAGAGUAAUGCUUAGGAAUCUGCCUAUUAGUGGGGGACAACAUCUCGAAAGGGAUGCUAAUACCGCAUACGUCCUACGGGAGAAAGCAGGGGAUCACUUGUGACCUUGCGCUAAUAGCUGAGCCUAAGUCGGAUUAGCUAGUUGGUGGGGUAAAGGCCUACCAAGGGGACGAUCUGUAGCGGGUCUGAGAGGAUGAUCCGCCACACUGGGACUGAGACACGGCCCAGACUCCUACGGGAGGCAGCAGUGGGGAAUAUUGGACAAUGGGGGGAACCCUGAUCCAGCCAUGCCGCGUGUGUGAAGAAGGCCUUAUGGUUGUAAAGCACUUUAAGCGAGGAGGAGGCUCUUUUGGUUAAUACCCAAGAUGAGUGGACGUUACUCGCAGAAUAAGCACCGGCUAACUCUGUGCCAGCCGCCGCCGUAA